rnacentral:lncRNA from 1 species
CGGCCCCGCUCGCCCGGCGUGGGAAGGAAAUGCCACCCUGCGCUGGGAACGAAAGGGCUGGGAGAGCCCGGACGCCUGGGUCCCCUCCUAGCAGGGGAGGUUCAAGCGCAGGGGCCAGGACGCCUGGGCCCCCUCCUCCUCGGAGGCGAGGCGGGGAGGGAGGAAGCCUCUGCUCUGGGAAAAACACUUCCCCUCCAGCGCUCCGGAGCUGUUCCCGGCAGGAAGGAGCUCUGAGGUUAUUUUGGGCCUUGCCGGUUCCUGCCGGAGGGGUUUUGGGGCACGGGGGGACRUGUUUGUAUCCGGCUCCGCUGAGCUCGGAGGAGGGAAGCGCCCCCCCGUCCCGGCUGCGGGAAGGGCUGGGGACGGGGUCUCGGGGGGCUUUGCCACCCGCGCAGCCCCCCCGAUGUCCGUGGGCAGUCGUGCCCGGAGCACCUGGCGCUGCGGGUCGGCUCGGGACGCCGGCGCGGCGAUGCGCCUGGCCGUGCCGCCAUGUCCCACUGCCCAGGGGCUCCCUGGGCCGCCCCGGGGGCUCACGUCCUCCCCCCUCUCUCCCUCUGUGCAGCUGCGGGGCAGAGACGCAGCAAAGCCAUGGUCUGCUCGCGGGAGACCGGCACCCGGAGACUGAGCUGAAGGUGCCGUCRCGGUCGGUGCCAGCCUGCGGCCGCCCGAGGAAGCCAGCGACGGGGACAGAGCUGUGAGCGGGGCCGGGAGAGGGGGGUCCGCGGGCCGGCUCCGGGGCUGGUCCCCAUCGCUGGGCACGUCGGUCACCUGCGCCGUCGCCUUGCCCCAUUGCAGGCGCCGGAGGGGACGCUCCAUGCGGAGCUGAAGCGGCCGCGGCCGA